GCUCGUUGCAUCUGAAUGUGACCUCUAGACAGAGCAUUAAUAACGAACGUGGCGCUGACCCAAGCUGACAAGGGGUGCGGCGCUUGGCACCCGCUCCCGCCCUCCCUCGCUCACUUUCUGUCUCCCUCGCUCUCGGCUGAAUGUCAGCGGCAGGGGGAGGGAUCCAGGAAAACAAAGCUUGGCUAAUAGUUUUCUCCGCUCUCAAGUGAAUCAAAGGCGCUUUUCUUUGGGGACGUGCGCGCCGGCGAGCCCAGUGCCGCACCGACGGGGUGCCCUGGCGCCUGGGGACACCCCGGCCCCGCCGCUGCUGCCCUGGCACCGAGGGACGGGGACAGCUUUGGCACCGGUGUCGCCACGGGCAGAGCGGGGCCUCUGCUCCCGGACAGCAAGUGGAGGCUGGAGGAAGAGGAGCUCGGAGAGCGGGGUACCGUGCUCAGCAUCUCGGGGGACACAGAAGGAAGCCGGAGGGGCAGCGCGGCAGGCGGGGCUGUCGGCUCGCACCCCCUCGGCUCUGCAGCUGGGGGUUUUUACUAGAGACAUUCCAAGGCGCUCUGGCACGGCUGCCCAGCUCCACCCUGGGCUUGGUGAGGGCGGAGAGAGCCCGUAAAAGGGUCCCUUAAUGGGAGCUCGCAUGGAUUAACAGACCAAGGUUAUAGGGGAAAAAUGAAGUGAUAUCAUUCCCGACGCCUGACGGUACCUGCUAUGAUCCUUCAGUACCUCCUGCACCCACACACCCUCUCGGGAGCGAGCAUGGAGGCAAUUCUGGCUACGGCACCGCCAAAAUGUGCCGCAAUCCUGUUCUGGAGAAAGACCAGCCCUACGGAGUCAGCGACACCACCCAAGGCAUCCCGAAAGCGUGGUCUGCAGUGCUUCCCCGGGCUGGUUUGCAGAGGCUCAGAGAAGCGCCCGGCUAGAGGUGGACUGGCAGGUGGGUCAGCCUUAGCGGAACCCCCAAAGGCCGGCACCGAAACUGCUCAGCUCCGGCUAGCUUCAACUUAAACCUCCCUCCACCUACAUCUCUGCCAUCCUGGGGAUGAGGCACUCCGCUUCCCAGAGUCGAGCGAUGAAUCAUCAUCUAUAAACCACAGCUCUCGUCACCGGGGCUCUCAGUGCUGGCUGCAGCCUGCGUGAUUAAUCCGCCAGGAUGCCAAGCUUAACCUACAGUGCGGGGCUAUUUAUUUUCCAAACUUGCAAGCCUCCGGAAAACGACCGCCGCUGCCUUCCCCAUCCCCUUUGUGGCCAGAUGCCCCAGGCUGUGGCAGGGGACCAGGAACAGGGGACCUCCCUCAUUGCCCACAGGACAUCCCAGCGUUAACCACUGGACCGUGCACCUUGCAACUGAGGCACCCACACCCUCCCCCGGCCCCCCUCACUACUUGUACCCUCAAAACAUGCACCAAAACAUCACUUUUGCCAGCAGGGAUGAGCUCAUCCCUGGCAGUCCAGCUCCUGAAUCAGAACUACCAGCUCCUGCCACCCCAACGACACCACUUGCUGCUGGAUAUGCUAGUGGGGAACCCAGUUGUGGUGGUGGCACCGAGAGGGAGCUGUCCCCGAGCCCAAGUGCCCCUGGGGCUGGCAUCUCCUCUGUCCCACAGCAGCUUUCAAGGCCAGACUGGCUGCACAGGGGAUGCCAUUUGGUUGCCAGCAGAUGCCAUCACGUCCCCUGCCAUCAUUACGGUGCCCUGGGCUCUUACAGGAGAUGGAACCACCAGCUUCUGUUUGCUCCAUAAAUCAGGAGGGAGCCAGCCUGUGCGCCCUGGCGCAGAGGGAGCCGUGCAUGCCAGGCUGAGCUGCAAGGCACACGCUUUUGGUGCCACUCAAGCUCAUUCCCAGCUACUGCAGGCAGCGAGCUCCGGGUUUUUGUUUAAAGGCGGCUCUGCACCCUUGCCACAGUCUCACUGCGGCAGCGCAGGGACUUGUGCCAACCCUCUCCCCGGCAUGUCACACCAGAGUCUGUCUUGACAGGGACUUUGGAGGGAGCUGCAUCCCACCAGUGCGAGCCCCAUACCCCCUGGCAGCUGGGAGCACCCACUCGGCUGUGCCGCCUCUCCCACGUGCAGGGCACCAGCUCUUCACUCCUCCAGCGUGUGACUUCAGAUCAAUGGCAUUUAUGAUGUUCUCUGGGGCACUCAGCUGCAGAGCAGGCUCAGGCCAAGGUCACUGCAUGCAAUCAGGGAGUUGCAAAUUAAAACCAGCUCGAGAUAAGCUGAAGACAAAAGGCCAACGCUGCGCUGGCCAGGAACGCCUGGGGUUUGCUUUGCUGCCUCUCCAGGAGCCCCAGCACAGCUGCCAUGGCCGUGGGCACGCACGGGGUCCUGCUGGCAUCGCCCUGAACAUCCCACAGGGUCCGGAACUGGCACCACGGGGCAGGAUGCUCCAUGCAGCACAGCCAGCAGGACUUGGCACUCGGCUCUUACCCCCAGCCCCACAGAUUCUCUGCAGGGCAUUUUUGCCAGGAACAGGGCUGGCACCAUGCAGCUGUAGCUCGGGAGCAUCCUCUCUCUGCCACCUACAUCUGUCUUUCUACCUGCUUUCAAACUCUGCCUCUGGCAGAUCACAUCAGUGAGAGCCAGGGCAGGGACUUGGCCACAGAGCUCCCUCAGCACCAGCCUCCCUGUUAGCCACCACAUUGCCCCCAAAAUGCCCAUGGAAUUUCAAGCCUUGCCAAUGCCACAGCAGAGGCAGAAGCACCCGCCUCUGAUACAGCCACUGCAAACCCUGCUCCCCACAUGUCCCGAGGCAGGCUGCAUACACAGCACGGGGAGGAUGGCUCAGAAAUACAUUUGUGUGUCAUGUAACCGACUGGCAGGGCCUGGAGCCCCUGCUCCAGUGGUCUGGAACGCCUCAGGCCUGGCUGCCACCCACCGCCAGGCAGCCUGGCUUCUCACGACCGCGCGCGGCACCCUCCGCUCCUGGGAGAAACCACAGAGCAAAACAAGCUGCUGCCAAAACAACAAGAGAUGCAAGAGGAAUGUCUGCCGGCAACACGGCUUUGAUUGCCUGUGUCCCAGGGCUGGGUUUGAUGCUCUUGGCUGUGGAAGCAAGUAAAAAAAAAAAACAAAAUCAAAGGGCCAGGCUCAGAUUUCAUAAGGAUGAUAGAGAGCAUGGGGAUCACUCGGUGCAGCUCAAACUGUGACAGCUCUGAGCUGGGCUGCUCCUCCACCAGCAAACAGCCAACUCUGCAACACACAGCACAUGGCAGGGAUGGAGAACACCAAGGCUGUGCCCAGGGUCCCAGGAAACCUGGACAGGCUCUGUGCACACUCACCAGCACAGCUCUGGGCACCUCAGGCCACAAAACACGGCCAGUGCCAGCAGCAAAGCGCUGGCAGCUGCAGCCAGGCUGCCCUGCCAUGCCAUGGAAAGCCCUGUGCCAACCCCCAGGCUGCUGGUCCUGGGGGCAUGCAGCACGUCAGGGGCAAGGAGAGGGGCUGGCAGUGGGACUGGAGUCAUGCUGGUCCCUGCAUCACUUGCCAGACCACAGGACAAGCAUGCCCAGGUGCACUCACCAGAGUGUGGGCUCAUCUUGGGCAGCACUGGGAGUCUGCUGGACACAGGAUCUGUCCAGGCAGGGCCCUGUGUGCUCAGCCCAGCACAGCUGGCACUGCUGCCUUCCCACCGCUCGCUCUGUGAUACCACAGAAGCACUGAAGUGAUUUUUACAGGACCCUGCUCACCAGAUCCUUCCUUGCACCACUGAGGGCUUUUCCAUAAGAGGAAAUGUUUCUUUUCUGGGUCGCUGCUGAGUUUUUUAAAAAGUGAUUUGAUUGCUUGCGAAGGGAAAAAUGACCCGAAGGGAAGAGAGCACAGUGGAGAUGAGCCCCAGCUCUGUCCCAGGCAGGGAACACGUGUUUUCUCUUCCCUGUGGUUUGCUUUGCCCUGCUCCCCCCUGCUCGCAGCCCCCUGGCCACACGCCAACCCCUCUGCAAGCCCUGCCAACAGAGGAAGGUGCCAGGUCAGCAGUUUGUGGGAUGCAGAGCAGCAUCCACACACACCACAAACAACCAGGGGCAAAGGAAGCCCUGUAUCCUUGUAGAAGCAGAUUUCUGGGAUUUUCAGCUGUGCCUGCUUUAGGAAGCAAUUUAGCAAUGACGUGACCUAUUUCCCAUCCAUUCCUAGUCAAACCUGGAUCACAACAACAGAUAAAACAACUCAUCCCCAAACCCAACCGCUUCUGUGUCCUGCAGUAAAGAUGCUGCAGGUCCCUCGCUGGGACCAGCAAAGCCCAGGCUGGAUCCCAGCCCCUGCCCCGAGAAGUACUCACGUGGGCAGGGCUGUGGUGGAGCUCUCCUUGCGAGGACACAUCCACCUGCUGCUGGAGAAACACCAGCCCGAACCUGGGGUCAGCUGGAAUGGGGGGCUCACCUCACCCAAGUGACUCUUUUGUUAUUGCUACCUGCAGAUGUGCUCAAGCAGCACAGAAGAGCCCAGCUGUGAGGGCCAAAGGGUUCAUCAGCAGCCUGUGCUUGUGGCUGUGUGUGUG